rnacentral:rRNA from 1 species
AUGGAGAGCUCGCUGUUCCUGGUGGGGGAGAUCGGGGCCAACGACUACAACCACCCCUUCUCGCGGAACAAGACGCUUGAAUGGGUCAGGCCCCUCGUGCCACAGGUCAUCAGCUCCAUCGCUCUGUCCAUCAAGGCCCUGAUCGAGCUGGGCGCCAAGACCAUGUACGUGCCGGGCAUCUUCCCGCUGGGGUGCACCCCGCCAUACCUCGCACUCUUCCCCGGCGACGACCGCGACCCUGCCACGGGCUGCCUCUGGUGGCUCAACAACCUUAUCCUCCUCCACAACCACAUGCUGGAAGCAAGGCUGGAGGAGCUCCGCCGCGACCACCCCAGCGUGUCCAUCACCUAUGUCGACUCCUACGACAACGUCCUGGGCCUCAUCACCGCGCCUACACAAAACGGGUUCGACAAGGAAACGGUGCUGGAGGCGUGCUACCCCCUCUUUACUGCCGGGCAGGUGGCGGUGCCGUGCCCGGACCCGUCGAGGCGCGUGUCGUUCGACGGCCUGCACAUGACGGAGGCGGCGUACAAGCUCAUGGCCCGUGGGAUGCUCGACGGACCGUUCGCCGUGCCGCCCAUCAUGUCUACAUGCAACCACGGCUGCUAG